rnacentral:tRNA from 1 species
GGUCGCUUAGCUCAGUUGGUAGAGCGCCACCCUUACAAGGUGGAUGUCAUAAGUUCGAGUCUUAUAGACCC